rnacentral:lncRNA from 1 species
AAAAGGAUAUACAGGUUUUUAACUAUGUAUGAAAAUAUAUAUUCUUAUCUACUAAUAUGUUAGGUAGAACAUGGGUAGAUAGUUGGUGUGUAAUAAACAGAUGAGAGGCCUCAAUGUUGUUGUUGUUGUUGAUCUAGUUAUUCAGCGGAGUAUGGAUAACGACCACGGACUCUUUCUAGACAGUCCAGUGGAACGCUAGCAGGUUCAUAACCUGUAGGUGUUGUGAACGAUGUGUUCACCGGUGUACUCUAUCCCCCUCAUGGUUGCCUUUAGGAUAUCUAUUGNUAUAUUUUUAUCUACUAAUAUGUUGGGUAGAACAUGGGUAGAUAGUUGGUGUGUAAUAAACAGAUGAGAGGCCUCGAUGUUGUUGUUGUUGUUGAUCUAGUUAUUCAGCGGAGUAUGGAUAACGACCACGGACUCUUUCUAGACAGUCCAGUGGAACGCUAGCAGGUUCAUAACCUGUAGGUGUUGUGAACGAUGUGUUCACCGGUGUACUCUAUCCCCCUCAUGGUUGCCUUUA